CCUACGGGAGGCAGCAGUAGGGAAUAUUGCUCAAUGGGGGAAACCCUGAAGCAGCAACGCCGCGUGGGGGAUGAAGGUUUUAGGAUUGGAAACUCCUUUUGUUAGAGAAGAUUAUGACGGUAUCUAACGCAUAAGCACCGGCUAACUCCGUGCCAGCAGCCGGGGUAAUACGGCGGGAGCAAGCGUUACUCGGAAUCAAUGGGCGUAAAGGGUUCGUAUGCGGGGUAAUAAGUCAGAUGUGAAAUCCUGGAGCCUAAAUCCAGAACUGCAUUUGAAACUGGUACGCUGGAGUGUGAGAGAGGUAGGUGGAAUUCUCGGUGUAGGGGUAAAAUGCGUAGAGAUCAAGAGGAAUACUCAUUGCGAAGGCGGCGUGCUGGAACAUUACUGACGCUGAGGCACGAAAGCGUGGGGAGCGAACAGGAUUAGAUACCCUAGUAGUC
rnacentral:rRNA from 1 species